rnacentral:rRNA from 1 species
UACGGAAGGCAGCAGUGGGGAAUAUUGCACAAUGGGCGCAAGCCUGAUGCAGCCAUGCCGCGUGUAUGAAGAAGGCCUUCGGGUUGUAAAGUACUUUCAGUCGUGAGGAAGGUGUUAAGGUUAAUAACCUUAGCAAUUGACGUUAGCGACAGAAGAAGCACCGGCUAACUCCGUGCCAGCAGCCGCGGUAAUACGGAGGGUGCGAGCGUUAAUCGGAAUUACUGGGCGUAAAGGGCACGCAGGCGGUUAAUUAAGUUGGAUGUGAAAUCCCCGGGCUUAACCUGGGAAUGGCAUUCAAGACUGGUUAGCUAGAGUCUUGUAGAGGGGGUAGAAUUCCAUGUGUAGCGGUGAAAUGCGUAGAGAUGUGGAGGAAUACCGGGUGGCGAAAGGCGGCCCCUGGGACAAAAGACUGACGCUCAUGUGCGAAAAGCGUGGGGAGCAAAACAGGGAUUAGAUACC